UCUGGUGGCGAUAGCAAAGAGGUCACACCUGUUCCCAUGCCGAACACAGAAGUUAAGCUCUUUAGCGCCGAUGGUAGUUGGGCUU
rnacentral:rRNA from 4 species